AAACGCACAGCAAACUCCUCACCUCUUAUCUCCCCUUCAGUUCCUCUUUUCUCCUCUACAAUAGAUCAAGGAAGAUGUUUUUGCUCUUAGCUACCCAUUAAUCAUUAAUAAUAAAUACUUAUAUUUUUAGAGUCAUCACACUACCAAGGCGUUCACCAAGGCAUUUCCGGACAAAAGUUUGAGAAAGUGGCAGGGCAGGCACCAUUAUCACUCGUUAACAGAGGCCUGGCAAGCGGCCUGUGAGGGCGCAGCUAGAACGUGGGCGCGCCUGACUCAGACGCCCUAAACCCUGCACGUCCUCCAGUAAGGCACAUUCCGCAUCACCUUGGCCUUGGGACUCGGAGCUUGAGGACAGAGGAGAAAGAGGAAAGGGCCGUCCAGCUCCUGUUCCUUCCUGUCCUUCCGCGAGACAACGGCGCCCUGCGGUAACGGUUGAAGAAAGAGGGUAGCUGAAGUUCAUCUCCUAAAACUGGCUCGGCGUGCAGCAGGGACAAAGCCACUCAGCUAAGCGGGUGGCGGCAGCGCAGCGUCCCAGGCUUCCUCGUCCAACCGAGGUUGCUCGCCUUCCGCAACUCCAUAGCCCCACCUGCUGGACGCUGCUUUGCAUACAGCCUGGCCGCGCGCACCUCGCUCAGGACUGCUGCUCUCUGGGAAUCUUCAGCCACCGCCCUCAGAAACCCCCAGAAAUGAGAUAGAAUAACAAGAUGUCCACUCUACCAGAUGGAAAGAAUUGGGACUUUGGAAACUUCUAUAAAUUUCAGAACUAGGGGGAUUAAAGACAGCAGCAUCCCAAGUAAACUGAUGAAGAAAUGAAGUUCCAGAAAAUCAAACUAAGCAGCCACAGAGAACAGGCCUUCAGCCGUACGAAGCAAAUGCCCCAAAUAGCUGCUUCUGCAUGAACCAGAGUCCAGAAUGAGAGCUGCAUGGAUCAGACCUAAACACUACCCACAGCCAGAGCAACCAGAACCAACUCACAAAGCCACAGACAAGAAAUAAAAGUUUGUGGUUGCAAGUCAUUGAGAUUGUAGGAUUUG
rnacentral:lncRNA from 1 species